rnacentral:lncRNA from 1 species
AGUACACUCUGCAGAAUCAUAGGUGUUAGAAAACCUCUCCUCCAGCUCCCUCCUGAUUCUUCAAGGUAGUUGUGCCUGUGCUGACAAUUCUUCCUUGGGGAUACAGAGAGGCUCUUUCUAUGAAACUAGUGCCCAUCACAAACAGGAUGGAACUGAGCACCCACCACACGUCCAGAACACAUGUCACCGUUUCGCGACUACAUGGAAACCUGACCGCUAGCACUGAUCCAAUCUAUAGGAGUCUGUGUAAAUAGCAGCUGUGCAGCUGGACUCUGCCUCCACUCCUCAGAAAGUCGAUGUUCUCGCUAGCCCAGAUUGGAUUUCUGCAUAUAAUCUCCAUGCCUUGCAUGCUGUGAUAUAUCUUUAUACUCAAAGAAUUGUACACUUUUCAUUUUGAACAUGAAAUAACAUCCAGACUCUCACUGGAAGACUCCUGGCCGACUAGAGCACCACCUGUUCUUGAUAUUUUUUCAACCAAUUAAGCAUUUAAAUUGUUUCUCAUCUAAACUGGAUUUGCUUUUAUUAUUUUUUCCUUGCCAUUUUUCUUUGCCACAGCCAUCAACAAUACCUAGCAAACAACUGCUUAAUGUGCUACGGAAACAAAAGUGCGGUUGUGCGGAAGUGGAAACGAGAGGGGAUGGGGUGGAGCGGAGAGAAGGCGAGCUGGAACCCGGGGCUGACUUGCAUCAGGGGACCUUGGUCAGGUGAUAUUCUCCUACGAAAGAAAGACUCCCACUGGCCUUCUCCCGUGGCUUUACCAACCACACUGGCAUAUCCUCUGUCAUACCUGCCACUGAGCCGUAUCUUAAACAAUAUGGCACGGAUGUAAGCGCCUUUCUGACUGCGAAGAAGAACAGGAUGCAAGAACAGAAUUUAGCCAACCUCACUCUUGGCACAGGCAGCAGUGAGGAGCACGCUCAGACACUGCAGAAUGGGUCCUACUGCCAGUUCCUGCACAGAUACAGCAGCUACCAGCCUACCACACAAGCAUCCAGGCAUGGCCAUAACUGCGCUUAGCACGGAGAGAGCUGAUAUCCCGGUGGUGGAUACGCAGCAGAUUUGGAGGCUCCAAGUGGAGAACGCUGCCUUCCUCUAUGGCACGUAUCAUCUCCAUAGAUUCAGCUCACCUCUCCAACCUGGUGAGUACUUUUGGAUAAUCACUUAAUUAUCUAAUGUGCAGAGUUACAUCUGUCCUUUCCUUUGUUUAUACAUUAUUUUCUCCUUUAUUCAGAAGGUAUUUGCUUAACUAAGGUAUUUACAUGGUAGCAAUUAAUGAGCAGCUAAUGAGGCACAAAAAGCCAUGAAACUCCUUUCACCAGCAGUUAAUAAUUCAAUCCAAUAUUUUUUGUUUACUCAGACUCAAGGAUGUCCUUCAUUAAGAUCUGUUAUCAUUUCCUGCCUUGAUGAUUCAGUGUCUAUAGUGUCACCAGCCUAUUAUCAGCACAGGAGUGAAAAGAACACUGGAUUUUGAGUCAAAUCGAAAAUAUUAGUCCCAUUUCUAUUAUUUUAGUUUGAGCAUUUUAACAAGUUAAUUAAGUUCUCUUCACUCAUAAACAGAGUAAAUAAUACUUUCCUUGAUUAUUUCAUAAAGUUAACCUGUCAAAUGUGGACAUGGAUUUGAAGGUUAUUUUCUGUAUAUAUGUCAUGUGUUUGCUAUAUAGAAAGACAGUCACAAUAUACUGUUAGCAGAAAAAGGUAAAAAAACAGUAUUACCUUAUUAUCUUAAUUUUUCUGGAAAAAAAAAACACCUAGCUAAUAAUGGCCAUCUCUAUGUGACAGAAUUAUGAACGAUAUUUAUUUUGCUCUUUUUUGCUUAUAUGUAGUUUCUAUGUUUUCUAUAAGUCCUACUUGUAUAAUAAUAAAAGGUCAAAUUUUAAAAUAAUUUUGUUGUUG